UACGAAGGGGGCUAGCGUUGAUCGGAAUCACUGGGCGUAAAGCGCACGUAGGCGGAUCUUUAAGUCAGGGGUGAAAUCCCGAGGCUCAACCUCGGAACUGCCCUUGAUACUGGGGAUCUCGAGUCCGGAAGAGGUUGGUGGAACUCCGAGUGUAGAGGUGAAAUUCGUAGAUAUUCGGAAGAACACCAGUGGCGAAGGCGGCCAACUGGUCCGGCACUGACGCUGAGGUGCGAAAGCUAGGGGAGCAAACGGG
rnacentral:rRNA from 1 species